GAUGAACGCUGGCGGCGUGCUUAACACAUGCAAGUCGAACGAUGAAGCCCAGCUUGCUGGGUGGAUUAGUGGCGAACGGGUGAGUAACACGUGAGUAACCUGCCCUUAACUCUGGGAUAAGCCUGGGAAACUGGGUCUAAUACCGGAUAGGAGCGUCCACCGCAUGGUGGGUGUUGGAAAGAUUUAUCGGUUUUGGAUGGACUCGCGGCCUAUCAGCUUGUUGGUGAGGGAAUGGCUCACGAAGGCGACGACGGGUAGCCGGCCUGAGAGGGUGACCGGCCACACUGGGACUGAGAGACGGCCCAGACUCCUACGGGAGGCAGCGGGGGGGAGUAUUGCACAAUGGGCGCGAGCCUGAUGCAGCGACGCCGCGUGAGGGAUGACGGCCUUCGGGUUGUGAACCUCUUUCGGUAGAGAAGAAGCGAAAGUGACGGUACCUGCAGAAGAAGCACCGGCUAACUACGUG
rnacentral:rRNA from 1 species